CCUAUCACUUUGGAAAAUCAAUGGGUUGCUAUGAACCGCUGGAGCAGGACGGAAGAUGAGGCAGGGCUGACAGCAAUAGGAAGUUUCUGAGGUUAAGCAGGACAUGAUCAGAAUUGUGCUUCAGAGAGAAUUUAGGUGUCAUCAGGAAGGUCGGUGAACUGGAGGCAGAAGGGUGUGUAAGAAGAUAGAUGUAGAAGAUAGUGGUGGUGGAAAGUAGGAGUCACUUUCAAAGGUAGAAGUCAACAUUCAUUUGUUUGAAAGGUGUUAAGUAGCUUCUGUAAUUGGCACCAUGCCUGGUACUGUGGCUAAAGAGGUAGGAAUUUAUCUCAGAAGGAAUUCAUAGACUUAAUUGGGACAACAGAUAAAUGAUUGCAAUACAGUGUAAUAUGUGUAAUAAUAAAGUACAUUGAAUGGGGAUAUAACAGGAAACAAUUUGCUUGCAAGUUUCCUGGGAGACAGAAGAGUCAACCUGGAUUCUGAAAGAUGAGGAGUUGAUACGUGGCCAAGAAAGCUGGGUGACUGGAGGAUGGAUGGCAGAUAAACAGAAGAUUGCACAUUACUUGGUACGGCUGCAACAGAGACUGAUUUUAGUACCUUCUAUGCCAUGAAAUAUGGAUGUCUGUCUGAAAAAGUCAUGACUUUAAACUUCCACCGAGGGGGCAGCCAUGCUUCCUAGUUUACAAGGAAAAAAAGUGCGGACUUCCCUGGUGAUCCAGUGGUUGGAGAACCCCCUUGCAGUUUCAUUCCUUGGUCCAGGAAGAUCCCACAUACUGCAACCAAGUCUGUGGCCACAACUACUGAGUCUGUGCGCUCUAGGACCCAUGGUCCACAACAGAAGAAACCACUGAAGUGAGAAGCCAGCGCACUGCAAUGAAGAGUAGCCGCAGCUCUUCGCAGUUAGAGAAAGCCACGUGCAGCAAUGAAGACCUAGCACCGCCGUAAAGAAAUAAGUAUUAAAAACAGAAAAAAUGCAACUAUUCUUAAAAGCCAAGUGAAAUGCAGUAGAGUCAUAUUUUCCUUUCAAGAGUGGCAAAACAGAACAAUCUCCGCAAGUCUUGAGAUUUGACUCAAUCUUGCAUAGUUUUUUUCUUUUUUUUUUUUAACUCCCAGAAAAUACCUACUAAUCAGUUUUCCCUCUUCUGCAAAAAUAAGUAAGCACUUUUAUUGACUUUAGUAUCAGCAUUAUGUCUGUGAAACAGCUCUCUGGGAGAACCUUAAAAAGGAUGUGAAAGCAAAAGAGCUGUCUCUAAGUUAAAUUUACAUUUUAUGACAAUUUAGGAAUUUCCUGUUCGUGUUUCAAUUACCCAGCUGGAUUUUGACACUUUUCGGGCUGGGAUCACAUGUCAGAUACCUUUGUAUCCCCAUUCCUCACUCAGCACACUGCCCAGCACAUGCUAAAGUAGUCAGAGAAAAGGUGUGGAAUGAAUGAACAAGUUGGCUUCCGUAGCUUCUCUCUUUGUUUUAAAUCAACAAUUGAGCAGUGCACGCCUGUGCGGAAGGAGUUUAUAAGCAGAACUCAUGCAUUGUGUAGCUACUGAAUGAUCAACAGAUGCUCAACAAUACUGUGACAUUGUAAAUAUAUUUUUUGCAGUGGCAGCUGCUUCUGACAAAAAAAAAAAAAAAAAACCUAGACAUAAAAAAAAAAAGCUAGAUGUGCUAGACAAAGAAUGCAGGAAAUUAAGAUAAGUUGUGCCCAGCAGUUAAUUUAUAAAAAUGACUGAGUGAAAACACCAGGUCAAUGCCAUUGUAAAAAAAGUUGUCUUCGAAAUGAAAGGCAUGUCAUGCCAUGCGUGGCCACAAGGGGCGCACCAGAGUCAGUCUGAAGGAAGAGAGGUGUUCUUUGCUCUGUCCUACCUGACUCUUUGUGACCCCAUGGACUGUAACCCGCCAGGCUCCUCUCUGUCCAUGGAAUUCUCCAGGCAAGAAUACUGGUGAGGGUAGCCAGCCAUUCCCUUCUCAGGGGAUCUUCCCCGACCCAGGGAUACGAACCCAAGUCUUUUGCGUUGCAGGCAGAUUCUUUACCAUCUGAGCCACCAGGGAAGCCUGAAGGAAGAGAGGAGGGGAGGCAAAGCGCAGGUCACAGUCUUUGUUAUGUUUUCUGUGGGAAAAGCAAGGCAGAGAAAGGCAAACAUUCGGAUAUCUGAGUAAUUCCAGCGAACUUUGGGGGACAGGCUGUCUGUUGUCCCUGUUGUCUGGUAUCUGAUCUUGGGAUGAUUUAGGGCAGGGGAAAUACUGGCUAUGUAUGUAUGUGACUGCUACCUAAAGGAGGUGGUUGAUGGUGCGGAGUUUGAAUUGGUUGGUUUGUAUAGGAAGGCUGGGUUCAUCAACCAACAUACUGUUUCCUAUCUCAGAAAUUAGCCAGCCCUAAAGGGCAGUCCCUUCCCCAGCCAGCAAAGCCCCCAAAGAUGUCAAAACCUCAUAAGAUAUAGAACAUAGGUAUAAUUAAUGCAUAAAAUCCCAGAGCUUAAAUGUUAUGACAAGAAGUAUAUGAAUGAGAAAUUUUUACCUAUACCCGUUAAUGUGGUACUGCUUUAGGCGUGUGUUAAAUCUGUAUGUUAACUUGAAAAGCAAUGCCAUCUUCACUACAGUUACUCUUCUUGUCCAUGAGUAUUUCUCUGUUUCAGGGUUCCUUUAUUUCUUUUUAUUUCUUUUAAUAAGUUUUAUAAAUUUUCUCUGAGUAGCUUUUAUUAUCUAAGUUAUAUUAUUCCCAAUAUACUCCUUCUUACUAUUAUAAAUAGGAUUAAAAAAGAAGAAAAAAUUUUUCUUACUUAUAUCACUCAUAUAUUGAAGUGAAAUUAUUUUUUGUGGCUGUAUGUAUUGUAAUAUCUUGCAAAUUUGCAGAGUUAAUUUAUUGGGAUGGCCAAAAUGUUAGUAUUUCUCUAAGAUAUCAAAAACCUAAAUGAAACUUUAGGCCAAUCCAAUAUUAUCUUUAAUAAAUCUUUAGUUUAAAAAAAAUUUUGCUAUUAAAAACUUGAAAAUUUAUAUAAGUACCCAUCACCCAGGCUCAACAGUUACUGAAAUGUUACCUUAUUUCUUCUAUUUCCCCUCUCCCAUACAUUCAGGUCCUUCAGUUCUGCUUAAGAUGCCCAAUAAUGUCCUGUAAUAUUUUUCUGGCUCCAGCAAAGUUAUUCACAUGUCUGGAAAGUUUCUGAAUCUCUGUACUUUUUUCCUUUCUCAUGUUUGAUUGUGCUGUUUUGUUUUUUACUACUUUCCAUGCUGACUUUUUGUCUCUGUUCCCAACUUUGAAUAUCUAUUUAAAUUCAGAGUCAACAAAAGAAGGGAGAUAAUCCUAAAACUGGAGAAGGAAAUGGCAGCCCAUUCCAGUAUUCUUGCCUGGAGAAUCCCAUGGACAGAAGAGCCUGGUGGGCUACAGUCCAUGGGGUUGCAAGAGUCGGACAUGGCUUAGCAACUAAACCAAACCAACCUGUGUGAGUGAGGACUUCCUUUUGUUCUGAUUUCUGUCCGAUGGCAUGGUAAUGGAAUCUUCCUUUAAAAUCUGUGUUUAGAGGGAAGACUGAUAUGACAGCCUCUUUCUCAGUUUCCAGCAACUUUUCACUUAGUAUACUCCUGCUCUGUUGAAGUUGCAUCUCUCCCUUACUCCUUUUGCUGGCUCUUCUAUGAGUCUCCAGUACAUGAGGAGUUGUGGUUUUUAAAAAGUGCUGCCACAGUAAGGUUUUUCCCUGUUUCCUCUUCUAACUCUGAGUCACGCACAGCAAAACAAGAAGCCCCAGCUAUAGGUAUGAUUAUUUUUUCUUUUUAGAAUUAUUUGUUUAUUAUUGACUGCACUGGGACUUCGUUGCUGCAUGAACGUUUUCUCUUGUCACAGUGCACCAGCUUCUCACUGCAGUGGCUUCUCUUGUGGAGCACAUGCUGUAGGUGCUUCAGUUGCUUUGCAGCAUGUGGGAGCUUCCUAGACAAGGGCUCGAACCAAUUCCCCUGCAUUGACAGGUGGAUUCUUAACCCCUGGACCACAGGGAAAACCCGGAUUUUUUAGUGGGGGAGGUUGGUGGGGAUGUGGAGAAUGGUGAUCUUUUAAAAAAUUUAUUUAUUUUAGUUGGAUAAUAAUUACUUUACAAUAUUGUUAAGGUUUUUGCCAUAUUUCGACAUGACUCAGCCUCAGGUACAUGAGUGCCCCAUUCUGAAACCCCUCCCACCUCCUUCUUGACCCCAUCGCUCUGGGUGGUCCCAGAGUACCUGCUUUGGGUGCCCUGCUUCAUGCUUCACUUGCAUUGGUCAUCUGUUUUACACAUGGUAAUGUACAUGUUUCAAUGCUAUUCUCUCAAAUCAUCCCACCCUUGCCUUCUCCCACAGAGUCUAAAAGUCUGUUCUUUUUUUUUUUUUU